AAAUGAGAUAAGAGAUAAGUCAGAUCCCAGCCAAAUUCCCAAAUUUCAAUUUCGAACCUCUCCUUUCAUUUUCUUUUAUCCUUCCAAAACCCUCCUCUCCCACAUGUCACGUGUAUCUUCUCACUCACAUUACUGUCUGCGACGACACUGACUCGGAGAAAGGACGCAGCUGACAGCCCUCCUCAAGAAAUCGUUUUGCAGAUUAAAAUUGCGAAAGAAAAAACACUCAUAGGCCUCAAAUCAGCAACAGAAGUUCGAACUGAAGGCAAAUAGGCAAUCGUUGAAAUGAAGAAAGAAGGAACCGAGGAAACAAGCAUGGAGAUGGUGAAGUUGUUUUUGGAGAAAAAAGGUGAAAUGGCAGUCGCCAUGGAUACUCUGCCGGACAAGUUCUUCGAGCCCUUUAUCAUGAAGGGCGUCAAAAUCGACCUCCUUGAACCCGGACGCAUUGUUUGCUCCUUCAAGGUGCCCCCGCGUCUGCUGAACGGGGGCAAUUUCAUGCACGGCGGAGCCACAGCAACCCUUGUGGAUUUGGUAGGAUCAGCUGCACUCCUCUCCUCCGGAGCUCUCAACGUUGGAGUUUCGGUGGAGAUCAAUGUGUCGUACUUGGAUUCGGCUUAUCCCGGCGAGGAUGUUGAGAUCGAGUCCAGGACGUUACGUGUUGGAAAAAGUGUUGGUGUUGUGAGUGUUGAGUUCAGGAAGAAGAAGACUGGGAAGAUUAUCGCGCAGGGCCGUCAUACCAAGUACCUCGCUGUUUCUAGCAAACUGUGAACAGCUUGGAAUUUGAACGAGACAUUACUCGGUCAGUAUUACGUAAAAGAUUUCUCGACGUCGAAUAAUUUUCUCUGCAGUGAAUUGUAAUGCAAGCAAUGAUCAAUUGAAUCUCUCAGAUUGAUACAAAUAGUUAACAAUAAUUUGUUAGAUCGUAAAAAGAUCCAAUCUU